AUGGACGUCAGGCCGCCGGCGGUCGUCGCGACCUGGCCGGAAGCAUACCCUUCUGAGCAGUUGUGGCGCGCUGGAUAUAGAACACGCGGGCAAUUGGCCGAGGUCGGCUACUAUGGAGGCGGUAGGUUUUGCCUCUGGGUAACCAAUCACGACAACACGAAAGCCAAGGCACAACGACGCAGCAUCCUCAGUUUCAUGGCUGUCCAGCUCUCCCCGGAGCUGCACCUGCUGGAGCACCAACCCAGUAACUACAUGCUACCCCUAAGCUCACGCCAUUUUCCUGCUGAUGUAAUAAUGUAG
rnacentral:rRNA from 1 species